GGAAGGAUCAUUAACACUCAAAGUGUUACAAUUACACCAUCAUUAUUGAACUCUCAACCCAAACUACGUCCGAAGCUGGGUGUGUGGUGAUAUGUCAUGUAUCACCUCCUCCUCCCAACUUUGUUGACCCCAAUCCAAUUUUUUACACCUCAAUUUCUAUAAAAUUCCAUUUUAUACAUUACAAACCAAUUUUUAAACCUUUUUUUGUUGCUUAAAACACAACAAAAAAAACUAAAAAAAUUAAAGGACAACUUUUGGCAGUGGAUAUCUUGGCUCUUGCAUCGAUGAAGAACGCAGCAAAAUGCGAUAACUAAUGUGAAUCGCAGAAUCCUGUGAAUCAUCAAAACUUUGAACGCACCUUGCAGUCACGCUCGUCGUGACUAUGUCUGUUUGAGAAUUGGUAUUAUCUCUCAACUCAUUUAGAGUUGGAUGCUGAGACUGAGUGUUCGGAAAAGUUUACUCUUUUUCAAACUCUUUCUUUAAUAGCCCAAUUUAAAAAACCGACUCGGAAAUAUCUGACAAUGAAUCAAUUUCUCAUCUGCAUACCAAACGCGGAGGAAGUUCAAUUCAAGUUUAUCUUUCUGGGUUCCAAUGCCUAUAUUACAAUAUAAGCAUUUGGAAAUAAAAAAACCAAAUUGAUGAACGGAACUGAUCCUGCGGCGAUUUGAAAUCUCAUUCGAAAACUUUUCUGUAGUCAACCUUUUAGAUUAACAAAUACCUUUGCAGAAAUGAAUAAUUUCUCACCAUUGAUCUCAAAUCAGGCAAGAGUACCCGCUGAACUUAAGCAUAUUACUAAGCGGAGGAAAAGAAACUAACUAGGAUUCCCUCAGUAACAGCGAGUGAACAGGGAAAAGCUCAAAGUUAAAAUCGGCGCAAGCCGAGUUGUACUUUGUAGAAAUGGUUCCUGGAGAGCGCCGGGUAUAAGUUCGUCUCAGAAUGCGGCAUCAAAGAGGGUGAAAUUCCCGUAUUUGAUCCGGAAAGUCUCUCCAAUACGGGCCGUUUUCGAAGAGUCAGGCUGUUUGGGAUUGCAGCCCUAAGUGGGUGGUAAGAUUCAUCUAAGGCUAAAUAUUUGCAAGAGACCGAUAGCGAACAAGUACCGUGAGGGAAAGAUGAAAAGAACUUUGAAAAGAGAGUGAUAAUAGUCCUUGAAACUGCCAAAGGGACAAGCGUUAGGAACUGUCGUUGCGACUGGGAACUGGUUUUCAAGUUUCACUGCUGGGAGUAUAGGAGCCUCAAAACCCUUGCUCUUAGAUUUGAUGGGACUUGAAGGCUAUCUGUUCUCAGCCGCCGGUCAACCACACUUUACGGCUUCUCCAUAGAACUUGGGAUGUGAUUGCCUUUGUUCAGAAGAGAAAUGCCAUGAGUGCGAUCCGGCCCUUCCGGGGCAAUUUUUCGGACUGACGGGACAGAACAUGUUGGGCCAGGUGCUGGGAUGAGGGAUGGUUCUACUUUUGUAGGGCCGCUUUCCCCCGGUGUUUCGGCUUGGUGUGCUCUGCCUGUUGGAGGUUGACUCCCAUAUGGUUUCUAACGUCCCGUCUUGAAACACGGACCAAGGAGUCUAGCAUAUAUGCGAGUAUUCGGGUGGUAAACCCAUGAAUGCGCAACGAAAGUGAAGGGGCUCUUACGAGCUCUGAGGUAGGAAUCCAUGGGUUCGUCCUGUGGAGGCACUAUCGACCGAUCUGGAUGUUUUUUGAAGGAUUCGAGUUAGAGCAUAUCUGCUAGGACCCGAAAGACGGUGAACUAUGCCUGUAUAGGGUAAAGCCAGAGGAAACUCUGGUGGAAGCUCGUAGCGAUACUGACGUGCAAAUCGUUCGUCAAAUAUGGGUAUAGGGGCGAAAGACUAAUCGAACAGUCUAGUAGCUGGUUCCCUC
rnacentral:misc_RNA from 1 species